GACGAACGCUGGCGGCGUGCCUAAUACAUGCAAGUUGAGCGAUGAAGAUUGGUGCUUGCACCAAUUUGAAGAGCGGCGAACGGGUGAGUAACGCGUGGGGAAUCUGCCUUUGAGCGGGGGACAACAUUUGGAAACGAAUGCUAAUACCGCAUAAUAACUUUAAACAUAAGUUUUAAGUUUGAAAGAUGCAAUUGCAUCACUCAAAGAUGAUCCCGCGUUGUAUUAGCUAGUUGGUGAGGUAAAGGCUCACCAAGGCGAUGAUACAUAGCCGACCUGAGAGGGUGAUCGGCCACAUUGGGACUGAGACACGGCCCAAACUCCUACGGGAGGCAGCAGUAGGGAAUCUUCGGCAAUGGACGAAAGUCUGACCGAGCAACGCCGCGUGAGUGAAGAAGGUUUUCGGAUCGUAAAACUCUGUUGGUAGAGAAGAACGUUGGUGAGAGUGGAAAGCUCAUCAAGUGACGGUAACUACCCAGAAAGGGACGGCUAACUACGUG
rnacentral:rRNA from 1 species